rnacentral:lncRNA from 1 species
CCGACGCGCGCGCGGGGCUGCUUUCACAGGUGGUGGAGGAACCGCGUAAAAGGUGCCUUCAGGGUCGGAAGACGGUCGUCGCCCUCCGUUCAGCACUCACUCAAUAUUGUGCACGGAGCACUGGGCUCCCAGAUGAAUGAGACCCGCCGUGCUCUCUGGGGUUCAGUCUGAGAAGACUUUCAAAGUUGGGAAGUUAGCUCUGUGAGCUGAGGAGGGCUCGGCUCAGACCGCCGUGGGCGUGCGGAGCGGCAGCCGCCGAGGCGGUUUCAGGAGGGGCUCUGUGCGGUCCGCUUGGAGGGAGGUCCCGGGGAGGAAGCGCCGAUUGAUUACUCACGGGAGAUGAAUGCGUUUUUGUUCAAAGCUUGACUCUUUUCUAAUAGAUAAGUAACUUUACCGAGUGCUAACUAACUAAACUGCUCGAUUAUCUCAGCUGGUUUUCGUAAUAAUCCUGUAUUUAGGUAUUAUAAUUAUGCCCUUUUUACAGACAAGGAAACUGAGGAAUGGAUCGCACAGCUAGCGAGCGAGGUAAGAGCUGGCAUCUGGAAGUCCGCCGCAGAGACCACGCGCAUAAUCACUGUGCCGUGGGCACGUUUUGUCCACGGGAUGACUCCAGACCUUACAUCCUGCUGCUUCCUUGGCAUGGACACUCGGAUGUCUGAUAAAUAGGCCUCUCAGAACACAGCCUUUCCUCCGCCAACCUGCUCUUCCCCUGCUCAAUGCGUCUAGAAUCAGAUCACUUCUUAUCACCUCCAGUGAUGCCAUCAUUAUCACUGACCCACAAGAGCACAGCAGUCUCCCUGAUUCUGCCAUUGGCCCCUCCAGCCUGGUCUCAACACACCAGCCAGGACGUCAAAGAACAAACGUUUUUAAUUUUGAUGAAGUCCAAUAUAUUGAUUGAUUUCUUUUGUAGUUUGUGCUUUUUAUGCCCUAUUUUUAAGAUCUUUGCCCAACUCAAAGACGUUAAGAUUUUCUCCUGUUUUCUUCCAGAAGUUUAAUAGUUAUAGCUCUUGCAUUUAGAUCUAUGAUUCAUUUUGAGUUAAUUUUUUUUUAAAGAUUUUUUUUUUUCCCUUUUCUCCCCAAAGCCCCCAGUACAUAGUUGUAUGUUCUUCAUUGUGGGUCCUUCUAGUUGUGGCAUGUGGGAUGCCGCCUCAGCGUGGCUUGAUGAGCAGUGCCAUGUCCACGCCCAGGAUUCGAACCAACAAAACACUGGGCCGCCUGCAGCAGAGCGCGAACUUAACCACUCAGCCACAGGGCCAGCCCCUUUUUUGAGUUAAUUUUUGUGUAUGAUGUGAGGUACGAGUCAAGGUUUAUUUGUUUAUUGCAUAUGGCUAUCUAAUUGUUCCAUCUUCAUUUGUGGAAAAGAUUAUCUUUUUCCGCCUAAUUGCUUUGUCCCCUUUGUUAAAAAUCAAUUGACCACAUGUGUAGGUCUGUUUCUAUACUCAAAACUACACUGUCUUGAUUACUGCAGCUUUUUAGUGUCUUGAAAUAGGGUAAUGUAAGUCGUCCAACUUUGUUCUUUUUCAAAAUUGUUUCAGCUAUUCAGAAUCCUUUGCAUUUCCAUAUAAAUUUUAGUAUCACCUAAUUUGUAUCUUUUAAAAAGCCUACUGGGAUUUGGUUGGUAUUGCAUUGAUUCUAUAGAUGAAUCUGGGGAGAAUUCACAUCUUAACAAUAUUGAGUCUUCUCAUCUUUGAGGAUGGCAUAUCUCUUCAUUAUUUAAGUGAUUUUUAAUUUCACUCAACAACGUUUUGUAAUUUUCAGUGUACGGGUCUUGCAUCUUAAAUAUCUUUUGUCAGAUUUGUUCCUAAGUUUUUCAUAUUUUUGAUGCUAUUAUAACUGGUAUUAUUUUUGUCAAUUUCAAAUUCCAAAUGGUCAUUGCUAGUGUAUAGACAUAGAGUUAAUUUUUGCAUAUUGACUUCAUCCUGCAGCCUUGCUACUUCAUUCUUAUGGUUCACUUAUUAGUUCUAGUGGCUUUUUUGUAAGUUCCUUAGGAUUUUUCACAUCUGUGAAUAGACAGAUUUAUUUCUUCCUUCCUAAUCUAGAUGCCUUUUAUUUCUUUUUCUUGUUGUAUAGUACUGGCUAGCACUUCCAAUACAAUGUUGAAUUAAUAAGUGACAUUUCAUAAAAUUAAAAACUCUUGAUUUUCUUUUUUUUAAAGAUUUUAUUUUUCCUUUUUCUCCCCAAAGCCCCCCAGUACAUAGUUGUGUAGUUUUGGUUGUGGGUCCUUCUAGUUGUGGCAUGUGGGAUGCCGCUUCAGUAUGGUUUGAUGAGCGGCGCCAUGUCCACACCCAGGAUUCGAACUGGUGAAACCCUGGGCCGCCAGAAGUGGAGCAUGCGAACUUAACCACUGGGCCAUGGGGCCAGACCCCACUCUUGAUUUUCAAAUGACAUUGCUAAGAAAAUAAAAGCAAGAGACAAACUGGGAGAAAAUAUUUGCAAAACAUAUAUCCAACAAGGGACUUGCAUCUAGAACAUAAAAAUUCUUAAAAGUCAACAAUAAAAAGUGAAACCACUCAAUUAAAAAAAAGAGCAUAAAAUUUGAAAGACAGUUCACUGAAGAAGAUAAACAGAUGGCAAAUAAAUACAUGAAAUGAUGAUCAACAUUAUCAAUCGUUAGGGAAAUGCAAAUUAAAACUACAGUGAGAUAACAUUACAAAUUCAUUGGAAUGGCUAAAAAUUAAAAAGGUUGACAAUAUCAAGUGAUAAGAAAGUGGAGCAACUGGAACUUUCUGGGUUUUUUAUUUAUUUAUUUUUUGGUGAGGAAGAUUGUCGCUGAGCUAACAUCUAUGCCAGCCUUCCUCUAUUUGGUAUGUGGGAUGCCGCCACAGCGUGGCUUGGUGAGUGGUGUGUAGGUCUGUGCCCGAGAUCCAAACCUCUGACCCCUGGGCUGCCAAAGCAGAGCGUGUGAACUUAACCACUAUGCCACAAGGCUGGCCCCUGGAAUCUUCAUACAGUGUUCAGAAUUGUAAAAUGGUACAACCACUUUUGAAAACAGUUUGGCGGUUUCUAAAAAAGUAAAAUAUGCACCCACCGUAUGACAACAUUGCACUACGCAGUAUCUCCCGAGAGAAAUGAAAGCAUACAUCCAUGCCAAGACUUGAACAUGAAUGUUCAUAGCACAUUUAUUUGUAAUAGCCAGACUGGAAACCACGCAAUGUCCUUCAACAGGGGAUUGGAUAAACAACUUGCCGUGUAUUCAUACAGUGGAAUACUACUCAGUUAUGAAAAGGAACAAACUUGAUACAUGCAACAAAAUGGAGAAAUCUUAAUGCUGUGGAGUGAAGGAAACCAGACAAAGACUGCAUACUGUAUGAUUUCAUUUCUGGAAAAUAUAAACUAAUCUCCUGUGGUGGAAAGAUUAGUGGUUGCCUGGGAGGGGGAGGUCAGGAGAGAAGAAUCAAAAAAGGACAUGGGGAAACUUUUGGGGGUGAUAGAUGUUCAUUAUCUUGAUUGUGGUAAUGGUUUCAUGUGUGUACACAUGUCAAAACUCAUAUUGUACAUUUUUAAUAUGUGCAGUUUAUUGUGUGUCAAUUAUACCACAAUAAAGAUGUAACAAAAAAGUAAACAAGAAAAAAAUUUUUAAGAUUCAUA